AACGAACGCUGGCGGCAGGCCUAACACAUGCAAGUCGAGCGCGCCCUUCGGGGUGAGCGGCGGACGGGUGAGUAACGCGUGGGAACGUGCCCUUUUCUACGGAAUAGCCUCGGGAAACUGAGAGUAAUACCGUAUACGCCCUUUGGGGGAAAGAUUUAUCGGAAAAGGAUCGGCCCGCGUUGGAUUAGGUAGUUGGUGGGGUAAUGGCCUACCAAGCCGACGAUCCAUAGCUGGUUUGAGAGGAUGAUCAGCCACACUGGGACUGAGACACGGCCCAGACUCCUACGGGAGGAAGCAGUGGGGAAUCUUAGACAAUGGGGGCAACCCUGAUCUAGCCAUGCCGCGUGAGUGAUGAAGGCCUUAGGGUUGUAAAGCUCUUUCAGCUGGGAAGAUAAUGACGGUACCAGCAGAAGAAGCCCCGGCUAACUCCGUG
rnacentral:rRNA from 1 species